AGACACAGCAGCAUCUCAUGACAUCGGGUUUCAACUCAUCUGUUGGAAGACACCAUGAGAGUUGCCUUGUAAAGACGCACGUCUGGGGAGACAGAGAAGUUGGUGGUGAGCAGAUUCGAUUGGCUUCACCUCCGGCACAGAUCCUGACCUGUUGGUCUGAAAAUCAACUCCUGUCAGCUGAAACAGAUCUUCUGCAUGUGAGGAUCUGAUCACCAGAAUGCUGCGUUAAGAGGUCUGAAGGAGGCUCAGACCGCUGCUCAUCCUCUAAAGAGCUUAGAUCCUCCAUCUGAACAGGGCGUCCGACAAGAAGCCAUACUCUUUCAAUAUGAGCACAUWCUACAAGCACCACCAAWGAUGACAUCUAACCCCUUUUAAUCCAAGUCUUUGCUGGGGAGACGCGACAUUGUGCUACACUCAAGAAGCUCCAGUGAGUUAAUUUUACCAGACUGCAAAGCCAGAGGGAGAAUGACUCCCAAGUUUGAUGCUUGUGAACUUUGACACUAAUUUUCAACACUGACCAAUAGCAAACUGCUGUGACAGUGCUGACCUUUGAGAGAGGGGAAAGCUGUAGAGUACAUAACAAAGGAAGCGGUAGAUUUACAACRACUCUGCAUUGCAAAAGUUUUCAAACCUGUA